UCGGGAGAGGACAGGACAGUAGA
rnacentral:miRNA from 1 species